AACGCGAAGAACCUUACCCAGACUUGACAUGUAGCGGACAAUGGCAGAAAUGUCACUUCCCGAAAGGGUCGCUACACAGGUGCUGCAUGGCUGUCGUCAGCUCGUGCCGUGAGGUGUUGGGUUAAGUCCCGCAACGAGCGCAACCCUUAUCAUUAGUUGCCAACAUUUAAGGUGGGAACUCUAAUGAGACUGCCUGGGUUAACCAGGAGGAAGGUGAGGAUGACGUCAAGUCAGCAUGGCCCUUAUGUCUGGGGCGACACACGUGCUACAAUGGCCGGCACAGAAGGCUGCCAAGCCGUAAGGUGGAGCAAAUCCCCAAAGCCGGUCCCAGUUCAGAUUGUAGUCUGCAACUCGACUACAUGAAGUUGGAAUUGCUAGUAAUGGCGCGUCAGCCAUAGCGCCGUGAAUACGUUCCCGGGCCUUGUACACACCGAGACGAC
rnacentral:rRNA from 1 species